rnacentral:lncRNA from 1 species
CCCUUCUCCAGAGCGCCGUCGACCCCACGCCACGCAGAGGUGAAGAUACGCAGGACGUCCUCUAAAGCAACUUCCGUGGGUGCCAGGUUGUGGGCUGGGGGCGGUGCUGACCUUGAGAGAGCGGAGGAGGCGCAGGCGCAGCACAGUUUAAACUUGAUUUUGUGAGGGGACGAACAGCGUGACAAUUAAAAGAAGAUCUGGGAAUCGAAUACCCAUCUCGAGUUCUGGAUAUGUGCUCUGAGAAGGUGCCCAUGUCACCGACCACACUGGAGGCCAAUGCAGAUACUGGGGGAAGGUUCCAUGGUAGCUAAGUGUGGACAAGCUAAUCACUGAAGUUCCCUGAUGCAGAGUUGAUAAUCUCUCUAGAGUUGGAUGAAAGACUGUGCUGCCUUGAAGCUCUGAGAGAUGCCAUGCCAAUUCAAGGCAGGGUCUUUAUUGUUGAAACUCUUGCGUAAUGACAUCUUUAUUCAGGUGAAAAUACAGGAUGAAUUUCAACUAUAUGAUAUUGUUUAUGUUCCUCAGACAUGUUAUUUGUCUUUACAAAGAUUGGUUUCAAUAAACUGUGUGACUGAUAUUAAAUAAACAUGGAAUUUUACACAUUCAUAAUA